rnacentral:rRNA from 1 species
GACGAACGCUGGCGGCGUGCUUAACACAUGCAAGUCGAACGGAAAGGCCCUGCUUUUGUGGGGUGCUCGAGUGGCGAACGGGUGAGUAACACGUGAGUAACCUGCCCUUGACUUUGGGAUAACUUCAGGAAACUGGGGCUAAUACCGGAUAGGAGCUCCUGCUGCAUGGUGGGGGUUGGAAAGUUUGGGCGGUUGGGGAUGGACUCGCGGCUUAUCAGCUUGUUGGUGGGGUAGUGGCUUACCAAGGCUUUGAAGGGUAGCCGGCCUGAGAGGGUGACCUGCUACAUUAGGACUGGGAUACGGCCCAGUCUCCUACGGGGGGCAGCAGUGGGGAAUAUUGCACAAUGGGCGGAAGCCUGAUGCAGCAACGCCGCGUGCGGGAUGACGGCCUUCGGGUUGUAAACCGCUUUCGCCUGUGACGAAGCGUGAGUGACGGUAAUGGGUAAAGAAGCACCGGCUAACUACGUG